rnacentral:rRNA from 1 species
GACGAACGCUGGCGGCGCGCCUAACACAUGCAAGUCGAACGAGCGAGCGAGAGCUUGCUUUCUCAAGCGAGUGGCGAACGGGUGAGUAACGCGUGAGGAACCUGCCUCAAAGAGGGGGACAACAGUUGGAAACGACUGCUAAUACCGCAUAAGCCCACAGGUCGGCAUCGACCAGAGGGAAAAGGAGCAAUCCGCUUUGAGAUGGCCUCGCGUCCGAAUAGCUAGUUGGUGAGGUAACGGCCCACCAAGGCAACGAUCGGUAGCCGGACUGAGAGGUUGAACGGCCACAUUGGGACUGAGACACGGCCCAGACUCCUACGGGAGGCAGCAGUGGGGAAUAUUGCACAAUGGGGGAAACCCUGAUGCAGCGACGCCGCGUGGAGGAAGAAGGUCUUCGGAUUGUAAACUCCUGUUGUUGAGGAAGAUAAUGACGGUACUCAACAAGGAAGUGACGGCUAACUACGUG